ACGGGUGAGUAAUGUCUGGGGAUCUGCCCGAUAGAGGGGGAUAACCACUGGAAACGGUGGCUAAUACCGCAUAACGUCGCAAGACCAAAGAGGGGGACCUUCGGGCCUCUCACUAUCGGAUGAACCCAGAUGGGAUUAGCUAGUAGGCGGGGUAAUGGCCCACCUAGGCGACGAUCCCUAGCUGGUCUGAGAGGAUGACCAGCCACACUGGAACUGAGACACGGUCCAGACUCCUACGGGAGGCAGCAGUGGGGAAUAUUGCACAAUGGGCGCAAGCCUGAUGCAGCCAUGCCGCGUGUAUGAAGAAGGCCUUCGGGUUGUAAAGUACUUUCAGCGGGGAGGAAGGCGAUGUGGUUAAUAACCGCGUCGAUUGACGUUACCCGCAGAAGAAGCACCGGCUAACUCCGUGCCAGCAGCCGCGGUAAUACGGAGGGUGCAAGCGUUAAUCGGAAUUACUGGGCGUAAAGCGCACGCAGGCGGUCUGUUAAGUCAGAUGUGAAAUCCCCGGGCUUAACCUGGGAACUGCAUUUGAAACUGGCAGGCUUGAGUCUUGUAGAGGGGGGUAGAAUUCCAGGUGUAGC
rnacentral:rRNA from 1 species